rnacentral:rRNA from 1 species
AGUGAACGUUGGCGGCACGCCUAACACAUGCAAGUCGAACGAAGUAGCAAUACUUAGUGGCAGACGGGUGAGUAACAUGUGGGUAUCUGCCCUUUGGCCUGGAAUAACACGAGGAAACUUGUGCUAAUACCGGAUAAGUCUUUACGGAGAAAGCUUUAUGCGCCGAAGGAUGAGCCUGCACUUGAUUAGUUUGUUGGUGGGGUAAUGGCCUACCAAGACUUUGAUCUAUAGCUGAUCUGAGAGGAUGAUCAGCCACAUUGGGACUGAGACACGGCCCAAACUCCUACGGGAGGCAGCAGUAGGGAAUAUUGCACAAUGGAGGAAACUCUGAUGCAGCGAUGCCGCGUGAGUGAAGAAGGCCUUUGGGUUGUAAAACUCUUUCGUCGGGGAAGAAAUGACU